rnacentral:rRNA from 1 species
UACGAAGGGGGCUAGCGUUGCUCGGAAUUACUGGGCGUAAAGCGCACGUAGGCGGCUUUCUAAGUCGGAGGUGAAAUCCUGGAGCUCAACUCCAGAACUGCCUUUGAUACUGAGGAUCUUGAGUUCGGGAGAGGUGAGUGGAACUGCGAGUGUAGAGGUGAAAUUCGUAGAUAUUCGCAAGAACACCAGUGGCGAAGGCGGCUCACUGGCCCGAUACUGACGCUGAGGCACGAAAGCGUGGGGAGCAAACAGG